GUCCAUGAGGGGGGGGAGGGGGUGGCGCGCGCGCCAUUUCUAGUCGUUUUCAAAGCGCCUCGCGCUGAUUCUCACGGGCCCGGCCGCCGGCCCCCGCUCUGCCCUACAGCAUAAUAAAAUGGCUAAUCAGGUGAAUGGUAAUGCGGUACAGUUAAAAGAAGAGGAAGAACCAAUGGAUACUUCCAGUGUAACUCACACAGAACACUACAAGACACUGAUAGAGGCAGGCCUCCCACAGAAGGUGGCAGAAAGACUUGAUGAAAUAUUUCAGACAGGAUUGGUAGCUUAUGUCGAUCUUGAUGAAAGAGCAAUUGAUGCUCUCAGGGAAUUUAAUGAAGAAGGAGCUCUGUCUGUACUACAGCAGUUUAAGGAAAGUGACUUAUCACAUGUUCAGAACAAAAGUGCAUUUUUAUGUGGAGUUAUGAAGACCUACAGGCAGAGAGAGAAACAGGGGAGCAAGGUGCAAGAGUCCACAAAGGGACCUGAUGAAGCAAAGAUCAAGGCCUUGCUUGAGAGAACUGGUUAUACUCUGGAUGUAACCACAGGACAGAGGAAGUAUGGUGGUCCUCCACCAGACAGUGUGUACUCUGGCGUGCAACCUGGAAUUGGAACAGAGGUGUUUGUAGGCAAAAUACCAAGAGAUUUAUAUGAGGAUGAGUUGGUGCCCCUUUUUGAGAAGGCCGGACCCAUUUGGGAUCUACGUCUUAUGAUGGAUCCACUGUCUGGUCAGAAUAGAGGGUAUGCAUUUAUCACCUUCUGUGGAAAGGAAGCUGCACAGGAAGCCGUGAAACUGUGUGACAGCUAUGAAAUUCGCCCUUGUAAACACCUUGGAGUGUGCAUUUCUGUGGCAAACAACAGACUUUUUGUUGGAUCCAUUCCGAAGAAUAAGACUAAAGAAAACAUUUUGGAAGAAUUCAGUAAAGUCACAGAGGGUUUGGUGGACGUUAUUCUCUAUCAUCAACCCGAUGACAAAAAGAAGAAUCGGGGGUUCUGCUUCCUUGAAUAUGAGGAUCACAAGUCAGCAGCACAAGCCAGACGCCGGCUGAUGAGUGGAAAAGUAAAAGUGUGGGGAAAUGUAGAUACAGUUGAAUGGGCUGACCCUGUGGAAGAACCAGAUCCAGAAGUCAUGGCUAAGGUAAAAGUUUUGUUUGUGAGAAACUUGGCUACUACAGUGACAGAAGAAAUAUUGGAAAAGUCAUUUUCUGAAUUUGGAAAACUCGAAAGAGUAAAGAAGUUGAAAGAUUAUGCAUUUGUUCAUUUUGAAGACAGAGGAGCAGCUGUUAAGGCUAUGGAUGAAAUGAAUGGCAAAGAAAUAGAAGGGGAAGAAAUUGAAAUAGUCUUAGCCAAGCCACCAGACAAGAAAAGGAAAGAGCGCCAAGCUGCUAGACAGGCCUCCAGAAGCACUGCGUAUGAAGAUUAUUACUACUACCCUCCUCCUCGCAUGCCACCUCCAAUUAGAGGUCGGGGUCGUGGUGGGGGGAGAGGUGGAUACGGCUACCCUCCAGAUUACUAUGGCUAUGAAGAUUACUAUGAUGAUUACUAUGGUUAUGAUUAUCACGACUAUCGUGGAGGCUAUGAAGAUCCCUACUACGGCUAUGAUGAUGGCUAUGCAGUAAGAGGAAGAGGAGGAGGAAGGGGAGGGCGAGGUGCUCCACCACCACCAAGGGGGAGGGGAGCACCACCUCCAAGAGGUAGAGCUGGCUAUUCACAGAGGGGGGCACCUUUGGGACCACCAAGAGGCUCUAGGGGUGGCAGAGGGGGUCCUGCUCAACAGCAGAGAGGCCGUGGUUCCCGUGGAUCUCGGGGCAAUCGUGGGGGCAAUGUAGGAGGCAAGAGAAAGGCAGAUGGGUACAACCAACCUGAUUCCAAGCGUCGUCAGACCAACAAUCAACAGAACUGGGGUUCCCAACCCAUCGCUCAGCAGCCGCUUCAGCAAGGUGGUGACUAUUCUGGUAACUAUGGUUACAAUAAUGACAACCAGGAAUUUUAUCAGGAUACUUAUGGGCAACAGUGGAAGUAGACAAGUAAGGGCUUGAAAAUGAUACUGGCAAGAUACGAUUGGCUCUAGAUCUACAUUCUUCAAAAAAAAAAUUGGCUUAACUGUUUCAUCUUUAAGUAGCAUUUUGCUGCCAUUUGUAUUGGGCUGAAGAAAUCACUAUUGUGUAUAUACUCAAGUCUUUUUAUUUUUCCUCUUUUCAUAAAUGCUCUUGGACAUUAUUGGGCUUGCAGAGUUCCCUUAUUCUGGGGAUUACAAUGCUUUUAUCGUUUCAGGCUUCAUUUUAGCUUCAAAACAAGCUGGGCACACUGUUAAAUCAUGAUUUUGCAGAACCUUUGGUUUUGGACAGUUUCAUUUUUUUGGAUUUGGGAUAGAUUACAUAGGAGUAUGGAGUAUGCUGUAAAUAAAAAUACAAGCUAGUGCUUUGUCUUAGUAGUUUUAAGAAAUUAAAGCAAACAAAUUUAAGUUUUCUUGUAUUGAAAAUAACCUAUGAUUGUAUGUUUUGCAUUCCUAGAAGUAGGUUAACUGUGUUUUUAAAUUGUUAUAACUUCACACCUUUUUGAAAUCUGCCCUACAAAAUUUGUUUGGCUUAAACGUCAAAAGCCGUGACAAUUUGUUCUUUGAUGUGAUUGUAUUUCCAAUUUCUUGUUCAUGUAAGAUUUCAAUAAAACUAAAAAAUCUAUUCAAAA